rnacentral:rRNA from 1 species
CCUACGGGUGGCAGCAGUGGGGAAUAUUGGACAAUGGGGGGAACCCUGAUCCAGCCAUGCCGCGUGUGUGAAGAAGGCCCUCGGGUUGUAAAGCACUUUCAGUGAGGAAGAACGCCUGGUGGUUAAUACCCAUCAGGAAAGACAUCACUCACAGAAGAAGCACCGGCUAACUCCGUGCCAGCAGCCGCGGUAAUACGGAGGGUGCGAGCGUUAAUCGGAAUUACUGGGCGUAAAGCGCGCGUAGGUGGCUUGAUAAGCCGGUUGUGAAAGCCCCGGGCUCAACCUGGGAACGGCAUCCUGAACUGUCAAGCUAGAGUGCAGGAGAGGAAGGUAGAAUUCCCGGUGUAGCGGUGAAAUGCGUAGAGAUCGGGAGGAAUACCAGUGGCGAAGGCGGCCUUCUGGACUGACACUGACACUGAGGUGCGAAAGCGUGGGUAGCAAACAGGAUUAGAUACCCGAGUAGUC